GAUGAACGCUGGCGGCGUGCCUAAUACAUGCAAGUCGAGCGAACGGACGAGAAGCUUGCUUCUCUGAUGUUAGCGGCGGACGGGUGAGUAACACGUGGAUAACCUACCUAUAAGACUGGGAUCACUUCGGGAAACCGUAGCUAAUACCGGAUAAUAUUUUGAACCGCAUGGUUCAAAAGUGAAAGACGGUCUUGCUGUCACUUAUCGAUGGAUCCGCGCUGCAUUAGCUAGUUGGUAAGGUAACGGCUUACCAAGGCAACGAUGCAUAGCCGACCUGAGAGGGUGAUCGGCCACACUGGAACUGAAACACGGUCCAGACUCCUACGGGAGGCAGCAGUAGGGAAUCUUCCGCAAUGGGCGAAAGCCUGACGGAGCAACGCCGCGUGAGUGAUGAAGGUCUUCGGAUCGUAAAACUCUGUUAUUAGGGAAGAACAGAUGUGUAAGUAACUGUGCACAUCGUGACGGUACCUAAUCAGAAAGCCACGGCUAACUACGUG
rnacentral:rRNA from 1 species